rnacentral:rRNA from 1 species
AUUGAACGCUGGCGGCAGGCCUAACACAUGCAAGUCGAGCGGAGCGGCGGACGGGUGAGUAAUGCCUAGGAAUCUGCCUGGUAGUGGGGGAUAACGUACGGAAACGGGCGCUAAUACCUCAUACUUUCAGAUGAGCCUAGGUCGGUUUAGCUAGUUGGUGGGGUAAAGGCCUACCAAGGCGACGAUCCGUCACUGGACUGAGAGGAUGAUCAGUCACACUGGAACUGAGACACGGUCCGAAUUCCGAGGGAGGGAAGCAGUGGGGAAUAUUGGACAAUGGGCGAAAUCCUGAUCCAGCCAGGCCGCGUGGGUGAAGAAGGUCUUCGGAUUGUAAAGCACGUUAAGUGGGGAGGCGUUACCGACAGAAUAAGCACCGGCUAACUUCGUGCCAGCAGCCGCGGUAAUAC